rnacentral:tRNA from 1 species
ACCUGGAUGGCUCAGUGGAUUAAGCAUCUGACUUUCACUCAGGUCAUGAUCUCACAGUUUGUGGGUUUGAGCCCCACAUCAGGUU